rnacentral:rRNA from 1 species
AACGUAGGAGACAAACGUUAUCCGGAGUUACUGGGCGUAAAGGGCGUGUAGGUGGUUUCGUAAGUCUGGCGUGAAAUUUCUCGGCUUAACCGAGGCAGGUCGUCGGAUACUGCGAGGCUAGAGGACGGUAGAGGCGUGUGGAAUUCCGGGUGUAGUGGUGAAAUGCGUAGAGAUCCGGAGGAACACCAGUGGCGAAGGCGACACGCUGGGCCGUACCUGACACUGAGGCGCGAAAGCGUGGGGAGCGAACAGG